UGUUCCAUAGUGUAGCAGUUAGCACGUCUGCUUUACACGUAGAAGGUCCUGCGUUCGUGCCCCAGUGGAUCCA
rnacentral:tRNA from 1 species